rnacentral:rRNA from 1 species
CGGAGGCCAUUGCUAUUGGGAUCCGAUUUAGCCAUGCUAGUCGCACGAGUUCAGACUCGUGGCGAAUAGCUCAGUAACACGUGGCCAAACUACCCUUCGGAACACAAUACCCUCGGGAAACUGAGGCUAAUAGUGUAUACCAUACCACCACUGGAAUGAGUGGUAUGCCAAACGCUCCGGCGCCGAAGGAUGUGGCUGCGGCCGAUUAGGUAGACGGUGGGGUAACGGCCCACCGUGCCAAUAAUCGGUAUGGGUCAUGAGAGUGAGAACCCGGAGACGGAAUCUGAGACAAGAUUCCGGGCCCU